ACCGAACGUGCCGUACUGGCCGGCGGCUGCUUCUGGGGUAUGCAGGAUUUGAUUCGUAAAUUGCCAGGCGUGAUCUCUUCACGAGUCGGCU
rnacentral:tRNA from 1 species